AGAGGUUUGGAUCCUGGCUCAGAACGAACGCUGGCGGCGUGCCUAACACAUGCAAGUCGAACGAGAAAGUUUCCUUCGGGGAACGAGUAAAGUGGCGCAAGGGUGAGUAACACGUGAAUAAUCUGCCCCUGAAACUGGAAUAACUUGGCGAAAGCCGGGCUAAUGCCGGAUAAGACCACGUUUCGCAAGAAACGCGGUAAAAGGAGUCUCAAACUCCAUUCAGGGAUGAGUUCGCGGACCAUUAGCUAGUUGGCGGGAUAAAAGCCCACCAAGGCUAUGAUGGUUAGCCGGCCUGAGAGGGUGAACGGUCACACUGGAACUGAGACACGGUCCAGACUCCUACGGGAGGCAGCAGUGGGGAAUUUUGCGCAAUGGGCGAAAGCCUGACGCAGCAACGCCGCGUGGAGGAUGAAGGUUUUCGGAUCGUAAACUCCUGUCAAGUGGGAAGAAAAUUUGACGAUACCGCUAGAGGAAGCCCCGGCUAACUCCGUGCCAGCAGCCGCGGUAAUACAGAGGGGGCAAGCGUUGUUCGGAAUUAUUGGGCGUAAAGCGUAUGUAGGCGGUCGAAUAAGUCAGGCGUGCAAUCCCUCGGCUCAACCGAGGAUUUGCGUUUGAAACUGUUUGACUUGAGUGCAGGAGAGGAAAGUGGAAUUCCCAGUGUAGCGGUGAAAUGCAUUGAUAUUGGGAAGAACACCGGUG
rnacentral:rRNA from 1 species